GCUUAACACAUGCAAGUCGAGGGGCAGCAUGGUCUUAGCUUGCUAAGGCUGAUGGCGACCGGCGCACGGGUGAGUAACACGUAUCCAACCUGCCCUUUACUCGGGGAUAGCCUUUCGAAAGAAAGAUUAAUACCCGAUGGCAUAAUGAUUCCGCAUGGUUUCAUUAUUAAAGGAUUCCGGUAAAGGAUGGGGAUGCGUUCCAUUAGGUUGUUGAUGGGGUAACGGCUCACCAAGCCUUCGAUGGAUAGGGGUUCUGAGAGGAAGGUCCCCCACAUUGGAACUGAGACACGGUCCAAACUCCUACGGGAGGCAGCAGUGAGGAAUAUUGGUCAAUGGGCGCUAGCCUGAACCAGCCAAGUAGCGUGAAGGAUGAAGGCUCUAUGGGUCGUAAACUUCUUUUAUAUAAGAAUAAAGUGCAGUAUGUAUACUGUUUUGUAUGUAUUAUAUGAAUAAGGAUCGGCUAACUCCGUGCCAGCAGCCGCGGUAAUACGGAGGAUCCGAGCGUUAUCCGGAUUUAUUGGGUUUAAAGGGAGCGUAGGUGGACUGGUAAGUCAGUUGUGAAAGUUUGCGGCUCAACCGUAAAAUUGCAGUUGAUACUGUCAGUCUUGAGUACAGUAGAGGUGGGCGGAAUUCGUGGUGUAGCGGUGAAAUGCUUAGAUAUCACGAAGAACUCCGAUUGCGAAGGCAGCUCACUGGACUGCAACUGACACUGAUGCUCGAAAGUGUGGGUAUCAAACAGGAUUAGAUACCCUGGUAGUCCACACAGUAAACGAUGAAUACUCGCUGUUUGCGAUAUACAGUAAGCGGCCAAGCGAAAGCAUUAAGUAUUCCACCUGGGGAGUACGCCGGCAACGGUGAAACUCAAAGGAAUUGACGGGGGCCCGCACAAGCGGAGGAACAUGUGGUUUAAUUCGAUGAUACGCGAGGAACCUUACCCGGGCUUAAAUUGCAGUGGAAUGAUGUGGAAACAUGUCAGUGAGCAAUCACCGCUGUGAAGGUGCUGCAUGGUUGUCGUCAGCUCGUGCCGUGAGGUGUCGGCUUAAGUGCCAUAACGAGCGCAACCCUUAUCUUUAGUUACUAACAGGUCAUGCUGAGGACUCUAGAGAGACUGCCGUCGUAAGAUGUGAGGAAGGUGGGGAUGGCGUCAAAUCAGCACGGCCCUUACGUCCGGGGCUACACACGUGUUACAAUGGGGGGUACAGAAGGCAGCUAGCGGGUGACCGUAUGCUAAUCCCAAAAUCCUCUCUCAGUUCGGAUCGAAGUCUGCAACCCGACUUCGUGAAGCUGGAUUCGCUAGUAAUCGCGCAUCAGCCACGGCGCGGUGAAUACGUUCCCGGGCCUUGUACACACCGCCCGUCAAGCCAUGGGAGCCGGGGGUACCUGAAGUACGUAACCGCAAGGAUCGUCCUAGGGUAAAACUGGUGACUGGGGCUAAGUC
rnacentral:rRNA from 1 species